rnacentral:tRNA from 1 species
GGCGUAGCUCAACUGGCAGAGCAGCUGAUUUGUAAUCAGCAGGUUGCGGGUUCAAGUCCCAUCG